UACGUAGGGGGCAAGCGUUGUCCGGAUUUAUUGGGCGUAAAGAGCGUGUAGGCGGCCAUACAGGUCAGCUGUGAAAACUCGAGGCUCAACCUCGAGACGUCGGUUGAAACCGUUUGGCUAGAGUCCGGAAGAGGAGAGUGGAAUUCCCGGUGUAGCGGUGAAAUGCGCAGAUAUCGGGAAGAACACCCGUGGCGAAGGCGGCUCUCUGGACCACAACUGACGCUGAGGCGCGAAAGCUAGGGGAGCAAACAGG
rnacentral:rRNA from 1 species